UUUUGGUUAUUAUAUUGAAUAUUAUUAUAGAUAUAGGUAAACUAUAAACAGCAAUAAUUUUCAGCAAAGUAAGAUCUACAAAUAAGUCAACAUGAACGAAAUGGUCAAUUGACCCCUGUAGGAGUUAUUGAACUUUGUAGUCAAUUUUCAAUCUGCUUCCUUUGUUUAAUAUUCACAUAGACCAAGGUGAGCGACACAGGCUCUUUAGAGCCUCUAGUUUUGUUUG
rnacentral:lncRNA from 1 species